rnacentral:rRNA from 1 species
CAGCAGCCACGGGAAUACGAAGGGGGCUAGCGUUGCUCGGAAUUACUGGGCGUAAAGCGUGCGCAGGCGGUUCGUUAAGACAGAUGUGAAAUCCCCGGGCUUAACCUGGGAACUGCAUUUGUGACUGGCGAGCUAGAGUAUGGCAGAGGGGGGUAGAAUUCCACGUGUAGCAGUGAAAUGCGUAGAGAUGUGGAGGAAUACCGAUGGCGAAGGCAGCCCCCUGGGCCAAUACUGACGCUCAUGCACGAAAGCGUGGGGAGCAAACAGGAUUAGAUACCCGGGUAGUCCCUGUCUCUUAUAC